UACGUAGGUGGCAAGCGUUGUCCGGAUUUACUGGGCGUAAAGAGCUCGUAGGCGGCUUGUUGCGUCGUCCGUGAAAACCUGUGGCUCAACUACAGGCUUGCGGUCGAUACGGGCGGGCUGGAGUUCGGUAGGGGAGACUGGAAUUCCUGGUGUAGCGGUGAAAUGCGCAGAUAUCAGGAGGAACACCGAUGGCGAAGGCAGGUCUCUGGGCAUUAACUGACGCUGAGGAGCGAAAGCAUGGGGAGCGAACAGG
rnacentral:rRNA from 1 species